rnacentral:rRNA from 1 species
AUAACAAUGAUACCCCUUAGUAGCGGCGAGCGAAGUGGGUAAAGCUCAAGUUUAAAACCUGUUUGUCCUAGACAAACCGGAUUGUAAACUAAGGACGUGCUAUCCAGGCUCUUUGGACCUUCAAGUCCUUUGGAAUAAGGCUUCACAGAGGGUGACAAUCCCGUAGAGGGUCUUGAAAGAGUCUAUUGCGAUGCAUGCUCCAAGAGUCAGGUUGUUUGGGAAUGCAGCCUAAAGUGGGAGGUAAAUCCCUCCUAAAGCUAAAUAUUGGCGAGAGACCGAUAGCAAACAAGUACCGUGAGGGAAAGUUGAAAAGGACUUUGAAAAGAGAGUCAAAAGUACGUGAAAUUGCUUAAAGGGAAGCGUUUGGAGCUAGUUUGGCUAGUCUGUUAUCAGCCUGAGCUUCGGCUUUGGUGUACUAUCAGGCUAUUUSCCGGCCAACUUUCAGGAUUGGAAGGAAAGCUUAGUGCUUUGGAGUCUAAAGAGACCUUUGCGGAAGCCUCUGGUGGAGCGUUGGUCUGC